rnacentral:rRNA from 1 species
AUUGAACGCUGGCGGCAGGCCUAACACAUGCAAGUCGAACGAGCGGCGGACGGGUGAGUAAUGUCUGGGAAUCUGCCUGAUGGAGGGGGAUAACUACUGGAAACGGUAGCUAAUACCGCAUACCAUCAGAUGUGCCCAGAUGGGAUUAGCUAGUUGGUUGGGUAAAGGCUCACCAAGGCGACGAUCUCUAGCUGGUCUGAGAGGAUGAUCAGCCACACUGGGACUGAUACACGGUCCAGACUCCUACGGGAGGCAGCAGUGGGUAAUAUUGCACAAUGGGCGAAAGCCUGAUACAGCCAUGCCGCUUGUAUGAAGAAGGCCUUCGGGUUGUAAAGUACUUUCAGCGGGGAGGCGUUACCCGCAGAAGAAGCACCGGCUAACUCCGUGCCAGCAGCCGCGGUAAUAC